CGAGAACAGACCCCUGAGCAGUGCAGAAGAGGGGGCGCUGCAGCUGGGCACGGGGCUCACACCUGUUAAUCCCAGCACCUUGGGAGGCUGAAGCAGAUGGAUCACCUGAGGUCAGGAAUUCGAGACCAGCGUGACCAAUAUGAUGAAAUCCCGUUUCUACUAAAAAUACAAAAAUUAGCCGGGCGUGGUGGCAGGCGUCUGUAGUCCCAGCUGCUUGGGAGGCUGAGGCAGGAGAAUCCCUUGAACCCGGGAGGCAGAGGUUGCGGUGAGCCAAGAUCGUGCCACCACACUCCAGCCUGGGUGACAGAGUGAGAGUCCAUCUCAAGGAGGAGGAGGAAAGAAGAAAGAAAGAAAAAAGAAGAAAGAAGAAAUAAGAGUGUCUGGGAGUGUGAGCCAAAAUCUCCUCGGAAAGAGGGAGCCCGUGGAUUCCCGCAGGAGGCCAGGGAUGGGGUCUCACUAUGUUGCCCAGGCUAGUCUCAAACUCCUGGCCCUAAGCAAUCCUUUCACCUUGGCCUCCCAAAAUGCUGGGAUUACGGAUCCUCUGGGGAAGCCAGGACCAGGAGAGAAGCAAGGUCAAGAAAUCCCACAUUUUGAUGUAUUAAAUAAAUGACUUAUUUCUACUCAAAA
rnacentral:lncRNA from 1 species